GAUGAACGCUGGCGGCGUGCCUAAUACAUGCAAGUCGAGCGCGAGCGUAAGGAGCUUGCUCCUUACAAUCGAGCGGCGGACGGGUGAGUAACACGUGGGCAACCUACCCUUUAGACUGGGAUAACUACCGGAAACGGUAGCUAAUACCGGAUAAGUUGGAUUACACAAGUAAUCUUAAUGAAAGGCGGAUUUAUCUGUCACUAAAGGAUGGGCCUGCGGUGCGUUAGCUAGUUGGUGAGGUAGUGGCUCACCAAGGCAACGAUGCAUAGCCGACCUGAGAGGGUGAUCGGCCACACUGGGACGGAGACACGGCCCAGACUCCUACGGGAGGCAGCAGUAGGGAAUCUUCCGCAAUGGACGCAAGUCUGACGGAGCAACGCCGCGUGAGUGAAGAAGGGUUGCGGCUCGUAAAACUCUGUUGUUAGGGAAGAACAAGUACGAGAGUAACUGCUCGUACCUUGACGGUACCUAACCAGAAAGCCACGGCUAACUACGUGCCAGCCGCCGCCGUAAUAC
rnacentral:rRNA from 1 species